UAGGGAAUCUUCCGCAAUGGACGCAAGUCUGACGGAGCAACGCCGCGUGAGUGAAGAAGGAUUUCGGUUCGUAAAACUCUGUUGUUAGAGAAGAACAGCGCAUAGAGUAACUGUUAUGCGUGUGACGGUAUCUAACCAGAAAGCCACGGCUAACUACGUGCCAGCAGCCGCGGUAAUACGUAGGUGGCAAGCGUUGUCCGGAUUUAUUGGGCGUAAAGCGAGCGCAGGCGGUCAAUUAAGUCUGAUGUGAAAGCCCCCGGCUCAACCGGGGAGGGUCAUUGGAAACUGGUUGACUUGAGUGCAGAAGAGGAGAGUGGAAUUCCAUGUGGAGCGGUGAAAUGCGUAGAUAUAUGGAGGAACACCAGUGGCGAAGGCGACUCUCGGGUCUGUAACUGACGCUGAGGCUCGAAAGCGUGGGUAGCAAACAGG
rnacentral:rRNA from 1 species